AGCAGCCGCGGUAAUUCCAGCUCCAAUAGCGUAUAUUAAAGUUGUUGCAGUUAAAAAGCUCGUAGUUGAAUUUCGGGGUCAGCAGGUUGGUCGUGCCAAUGGUAUGCACUGGCCUUGCUGAUUCCUCCCUCUUGAUGAGCCGUAAUGCCAUUAAUUUGGUGUUGCGGGGAAUCAGGACUGUUACUUUGAAAAAAUUAGAGUGUUUAAAGCAGGCAAGCGCUUGAAUACAUUAGCAUGGAAUAAUGAAAUAGGACGUUCGAUCCUAUUUUGUUGGUUUCUAGGAUUGACGUAAUGAUUAAUAGGGAUAGUUGGGGGCAUUAGUAUUCAAUUGUCAGAGGUGAAAUUCUUGGAUUUAUUGAAGACUAACUACUGCGAAAGCAUUUGCCAAGGAUGUUUUCAUUAAUCAAGAACGAAAGUUAGGGGAUCGAAGACGAUCAGAUACCGUCGUAGUCUUAACCAUAAACUAUGCCGACUAGGGAUCGGAUGAUGUUAAUUUUUUAAUGACUCAUUC
rnacentral:sRNA from 1 species